AAUGGACUCAGCUCUGUCUGCUUAAUGCCAUUGUGCAGAGAAGUACCCUAAUGCAUAAGCUUUUUAAUGCUGUAAAAUAUAAUAGCUGAAAUUAAAUGCCACUUUUUUCAGAGGUGAAUUAACGGACAGUCUGGUGAAAUUCACAAGCUUUUUGAUGUAUAAAACUUGAUAAAUGGAAUGGGUCCAUCAAUAGGCAAAAGUGUAGCAAUGUAUCUAGAUGAAUAGUAUGUAAUUUCUGCACAGGUCUCUGUUUAGUAAAUACAUCACUGUAUACCAAUCAGGAAUCUUGCUCCAAUAAAGGAACAUAAAGAUUUAAAAAACU
rnacentral:lncRNA from 10 species